rnacentral:rRNA from 1 species
GAUGAACGCUGGCGGCGUGCUUAAUACAUGCAAGUCGAACGAGGGUAUCUUGUAGCAAUACGAGGUGUCCCUAGUGGCGAAUGGGUGCGUAACACGUAGGUGACCUGCCCCGAAGUGUGGAAUAACAGUUCGAAGGACUGCUAAUACCGCAUGUGGUCCCGGAGGUUAGAGGCUCUGGGUCUAAAGCUGCUCGCAAGAGUGGCGCUUCGGGAGGGGCCUGCGGCCCANCAGGUAGUUGGUAGGGUAACGGCCUACCAAGCCAUCGACGGGUAGGGGAUCUGAGAGGAUGGUCCCCCACACUGGCG